UACGAAGGGGGCUAGCGUUGCUCGGAAUCACUGGGCGUAAAGCGCACGUAGGCGGAUCGUUAAGUCGGAGGUGAAAUCCUGGAGCUCAACUCCAGAACUGCCUUCGAUACUGGCGAUCUUGGAGUCCGGGAGAGGUGAGUGGAACUCCGAGUGUAGAGGUGAAAUUCGUAGAUAUUUGCAAGAACACCAGUGGCGAAGGCGGCUCACUGGCCCGGUACUGACGCUGAGGUGCGAAGGCCAGGGGAGCAAACGGG
rnacentral:rRNA from 1 species